rnacentral:rRNA from 1 species
CGCGUAGGCGGCCACCGCAAGUCGACUGUGAAAUCUCCGGGCUUAACCCGGAACGGUCAGCCGAUACUGCGGGGCUAGAGUGCAGUAGGGGCAACUGGAAUUCUCGGUGUAGCGGUGAAAUGCGUAGAUAUCGAGAGGAACACCUGCGGCGAAGGCGGGUUGCUGGGCUGACACUGACGCUGAUGUGCGAAAGCUAGGGGAGCGAACG